rnacentral:misc_RNA from 1 species
UUGGAGGGCAAGUCUGGUGCCAGCAGCCGCGGUAAUUCCAGCUCCAAUAGCGUAUAUUAAAGUUGUUGCAGUUAGUUUGCUCGUAGUUGAAUUUCGGGAUCAAUAUAUCGGUCGUGCCUCUGGUAUGCACUGGUAUUAUUGAUUUCUACCUUCUGACGAACCAUGAUGUCAUUAAUUUGGUGUCAUGGGGAAUCAGGACUGUUACUUUGAAAAAAUUAGAGUGUUUAAAGCAAGCACACGCUUGAAUACAUUAGCAUGGAAUAAUGAAAUAGGACGUUUGACCCUAUUUUGUUGGUUUCUAGGAUCGACGUAAUGAUUAAUAGGGAUAGUUGGG